rnacentral:rRNA from 1 species
CUCCUACGGGGGGCAGCAGUGAGGAAUAUUGGUUAAUGGGCGGGAGCCUGAACCAGCCAAGUCGCGUGAGGGAAGACGGUCCUAUGGAUUGUAAACCUCUUUAGGCGGGGAGCAAUGCCGGGCACGCGUGCCCGGAGGGAGAGUACCCGCAGAAUAAGCAUCGGCUAACUACGUGCCAGCAGCCGCGGUAAUACGUAGGGAGCAAGCGUUAUCCGGAUUUAUUGGGUGUAAAGGGUGCGUAGACGGGCUAACAAGUUAGUUGUGAAAUCCCUCGGCUCAACUGAGGAACUGCAACUAAAACUAUU